GACCUCGGAUCAGGCAGGGAUACCCGCUGAACUUAAGCAUAUCAAUAAGCGGAGGAAAAGAAACCAACAGGGAUUGCCUCAGUAACGGCGAGUGAAGCGGCAACAGCUCAAAUUUGAAAUCUGGCUCUUUUAGGGCCCGAGUUGUAAUUUGUAGAGGAUGCUUCGGCGUCGGCUCCGGUCUAAGUUCCUUGGAACAGGACGUCAUAGAGGGUGAGAAUCCCGUAUGUGAUCGGUUGCCUUUGCCAUGUGAAGCCCCUUCGACGAGUCGAGUUGUUUGGGAAUGCAGCUCUAAAUGGGAGGUAAAUUUCUUCUAAAGCUAAAUACUGGCCAGAGACCGAUAGCGCACAAGUAGAGUGAUCGAAAGAUGAAAAGCACUUUGGAAAGAGAGUCAAAAAGUACGUGAAAUUGUUGAAAGGGAAGCGCUUGCAACCAGACCUGCCUGCAGUUGCUCAUCCGGGCUUUUGCCCGGUGCACUCUUCUGCGGUCAGACCAGCAUCAGUUCGGGCGGUCGGAUAAAGGUUUCGGGAAUGUAGCUCCUCUCGGGGAGUGUUAUAGCCCGUUGCGAAAUGCGGCCAGCCUGGACUGAGGUCCGCG
rnacentral:rRNA from 1 species